AGGACUGGCUGCCUAGAAGCACAAUGGCUGAGCAGGGUAGCAGAGCAGAAGGAGCUUCUGGCUGACCUCUGACAGACUGAGGCCCUGGAGGAAGGGCAGAUAAGGUGCAAGGGCUGCCCCCAUUUGCCCUGAGGGAAGUGGUCAGCACAGACUGCAGUUUGCUCCUGGAGCAAGGGACUAGACUGGUGACUGCAGCAGGCUACUGAGGAGAGGGGCUGGACUAUAGACUGCUGGUUCCCCCGAAAUGGUGGGAGACAGCAGAGCGGGGCACAGCCACAGGGCUGUGCCAAGAAGAGGAUGCCGCAUUCCGGGGAGCAACGUGGGCCACAAAGUGGUGGAGACAGCAAAGUGGGAGUAAUGGCGAGUGAGACACCACUGGAGGAGGGUGCCCUGUGGAAGGACUUGAGCUAAUUCCAGAAUGGCUAGCAGGAGGCACCAUGGUGGCUUUCAGAACAUCUUGAACCUCUUGAAGACCAAGAAGAGGGAGGCCAUCCAGCCCCAAGACAGGGACAGGCCAGAUGACAGGUUACCAUGAAAGCACCUAAAAUAAGAUUAGAAAGAGCAUCUGUCUGGGAGUGGAUGUGGCUUUGUGCUGUGUGGAUACCAGCUGCCCAGGUCUGUGAACACUUACUGACCAUGGCUGAUAUGUUUUAGUUCAACCAAAAGUAGUUGUGCUAGAUACAAGAAUUACUAGGUGAAAUUCUAGUGCCUGCUCUAUUUUGAAGGUCAGACUCCAUGAUCAUGGUCCUUCUGGCUUUAAAAUGAACCUGCUACUUUGCAGGUUUGAUUGUGACAGUUUUGUGGCUUCUUGUCAAAUUGUGCUGUGCAUAUUAAAAAUGAGUAAAGGGAUUUUCAAAAGUUCCCAAGUCUCAUAGAAGAGUAAGACCCAUUUAAAGUCACUUAUGCGUUUUUGAAAAUGCCACCCAGAUACUGUAUGUAUUCCCAUCUCUUGGGUAAAGAAUGUAUAUCUUAAGAAGUAAAUGAUUGGUAUGACAAAGUCUGUUCAAUAAUUUUUUGAGUAUGUGCUGAUGGCAUCUGACAAGUUGUGCCACACUCUGCUGCAAAUGAAAGCAUGGUCCAGCACCAUGGCGAUGAUUGGAAUGGAACUUCUGGGAAACACUUUUUGAGGUUGAUAAUUUCCUCUAGUCUGUUCUAAUUCAUCAAAACAAAACAGUAAGGUGUAGCAUUAGGGAUAUACACUAAACCCAUGGAAAACACUAAGGCAACAGAAGAGAGAGCUGUUUUAACUGGAACUAGCUAAAAUUUGCAAGCAUUUUUAUGGGAUUCUCUAAACAGCAAGUAUUUAUUGAAAGGCAGUGUAUAGAUACCCUAUCAGUGUAGCUGCACUUAAAGCAAUGCAGCUAUGAAUUUUUACACCAGCUGAGGAUCUGGGCCUACCUGCUGUAAUAGAGGCACAAUGGGUGGUGGAACUUCAGCUUCAGCUCUGAAUUUUCUGGCUUUUAUGAGUUUCAUUAUUUUAUCAUGGUUGCAUUUUUGUUACUAAAUGUAAAUUAGGAUCCUACUCACUGUACAGCACCAAGUGACAAGAAAACUGAUCUCCCUGUGCAUCAACUGAUUACAUUCCUGUUUUCCUCACAGCAGCCCCUGCGUGCAAUGAGUAAAAAUCUAUAGGCAGUAGAAAAACACUGUCACAGCAACAAGCUUUGACUAGCCUAUCUACAGCUUGUGAAUAUAUGUGAAGUGUAGAGAGACUGUGGUGAUCUAACCAUGACUACCGUUUGUGAGUUAAUACAGAUUUCAUGUCUGGGUGACCAGCUCUUAAUUGCUGCUGAAUUUUUUCCAGUGCAACUUACUUUUCAGGCUGGUUCUUCUUGAGCAGCCUGUGUGGAGACUAUUCCUGUUAUGAGGCAAUUAAGAAGAAUUGGAACAGGUGCUUUUCUUGGCUCCCUUCCAUGUGCUUCAGCAAAGCAUCUUGCUGUGCUCCCUCUUCUUUCCACACUAACCUAGGAAUAUUCCUCCAAUGGACUGGUAUUCUCCUUGGCUCUGUUUGCAGUGUGAUUGCAACUUGCUAAUAAAGUCAGAUUCUUCCACACCACUGUUAAUUUAGACAUGGGUUUUUAGGUUAGUUACUGUUGGUCAGCCUAAAUGACAAAAAGCAUGUCAGCCUUUUCUUUAUUGUCUAGCAUUGAUCUAGAACUUAGUUGUAAUCAUUGUGUAUUUGCAUCUUUUGGAGACAGAGUUGAAAAACCAGUGGUUUAUACAUAUUUUAGUUGCAAUUAAGGCAGGUUAGUCACAGAAUAAGCAGAUUUACCAUGCCAGUAAUUCAGAGAUGAAGGUGAACUCAAUGAUUGGAGGUUAGCAGCAAUACCUUCUACUCUUAGUAAUAAAUACUUAACUUUUAUAUCGCCAUCAAAUCCAAAAGUGCUUUGCAAAAGCGGCAUCAUCUUCCCAUUAUACAGAUGGGGAAACUGAGGCACAGAGCAGUGACAUAACUUGCCCAAGCUCACCCCAUAGGCUAGUAACAGAGCUGGGAAUAGAAUCCAGGUCUCCUGAGUCCCAGUCCUCUACCCACUAGUCUACAUUUCCUCCUAAGAAAGAUCAUUAUAUUUUGCAGUCCUUUUUAUACCACUUACUGUUGUAGUCAAUCAAUGUAAAUAGACACAAGACAUGAGCCUAAAUCAAACCCCUACACCCAGCCCUAAGUCUGAAAACGAAAUCUUUCUCAUCAUGCAGUGAACCAGGCAAUGAAUCUGAACACUAUGGAGUUUGCUUAAGUUCAGAUCCAACCUCCCAAGUUUGGAUUAGGGUUUUUAUAGUGUGUCCAUUAUAGAGCUAUGGGCCCAGAUUCUGGGGUUCAGCAGAACUGUACAAAGUGCAGUUUGGGAGUGAGGGGACAGGUCUGAAGGUGACACAAAACUCCCUUUUGCUCUCCCUCAGUCCUGGGUUACUCAGUAUAGGGCUGACAAACUAUAGUAACUCGAGGGCUUCUUUAAUUCACUGAGGUUGCAAAAGGCCCCAGGAGCUGACGCUGCAUUUGGAGA